rnacentral:lncRNA from 1 species
UUAGCCUCCAAGAUUCCUCCUUCUGCUGUGCAGCAAGUGAUGGUUUUGUUUGUUGUGGUCACCUGUGUGCUGAUUUCAUCUCUCCUUCUGAAAUGCAGCAGCCAUGCUUCCUCCCGAUGAUCAAGAAGAAUUCCUCCUGCCAGUACAGUGACUCCUUUCCUGUUGUCCUCUUGGCACAAGGAACCUGAAGGGACCAGACAGCAGCCAUACUUUCAAGCUCAUGGUGCUUUUACUGUUUCCUGGUGAAAGCAUUCUUCUCUGGAAGCCAGAAUGCAUAGGGCCUAAUGCUGAUGCUGUGUUCAGCCAAGAGUUUCAAUCCAGAUUGGUUUCCUGCUUCCAGAAGAACUACACAGAAGGAACUGAACCUCGCAGAGAUUAAGCCUUGCCCUGAGGUCAAAUGAGUUGGUGAGUGACAGAGACAGCAGGAUCAGGCAGGCAAGUAGGGUAGCUCAUUAUUGAGGAAAUGGUGAAGUCAUAGUCUUCUGUCACAGGAUCCAAGCUACGUACAGGAAGUCUCUAGAAGAGCCUCAGCAUUUAGAAUUCAAAAGACUUAGGAAGCUCAUUGUCACAGCAGCAAUGGAAGGACUUUGGCACAAUUUCUCAAGCACCUGCAAGAGGGUUUCAGCUUGUUUUUAAAGAGAAACAGCUCAAGCCAAAUUGCCCAAUCCAUCCUUCAAGAAGAGACUGAUUGUCAUUAAAAGGCUACUGCUAGUCUCUGUCUAGAACACUCCAAUGUCUGCCUUCUGAGAGCAUUCAUGUUGCCUCGUGUCCUACAGGGCACCCAAUGGGUGUUAAAUAUCUAGAAAUCUCCAGUCUCAGGCCCUGCUUAAUUUUUUCUUCAUUUUCUCAGUGUUAGGCAGACAUCAGGAUCACUCUCAAGUGGGUGACAUGAGCCACUGUUCUUACUCCAGGAAAAGGUGCAUGCAACAUUUUUCUUUGACUACAGCGUACUGAGAUGUCUUUGGAAGAAGAUCCACAUAUAUUACCACAACUGCUACCAGAUAUUCCUUCAAAGCAUGUAAAAAUGGAAUUAGUCCCAGAGUUUGCCAGAGAUCGAGUUUCAAUGGCCAGGCUUCACCUCCAAAUCAUUGUGGUCCAUUCAUCCAUUCACUUAAUUGGUGCUAAUGAAGCUCAGAACUACUGAUUUGGUUGAAAUGUGGACCAGUUAGCCCUGUUCUCAUCUCUGAUUAUAUGGGCUCUAAUCCCAAACCCAGGCAUCUUGAUCCCAGAUGCAGACUGGGUUGUGGUGGAACAGAUGGGGCAUGUGAAUGGACCACAAAUGAAAAUCAUAGGCCAAGUCACCCUUCUGAUAGCAAGCCAACUAUCUUAACCUCCACAGGGAGAUACAAUCACUAUGAGGGAAUAUGAGUACUUAAUAAUCACUUGUGAAAUUAAUGGACAAACUCCUUAAAUGGAGUAAUUAUACUCUGCAUUUCACAGGUCUACCCACGGCUUCUCUGUUUCCGUGUUAAACUAGAAAUUGAUGCUGAGCAGAGCUUUCCCUCCUCCUCAUCCACUGGCAGGAAACAUAUCAUGUCUCAGCACACCAGGGGAUACCCGGUGACUUGCUGGGGAGCGUGAGCUGGAGCAGGUCCUAUGACAGCAUGCGCCACUUUGCCUUAAUAAAAAUUACCAAACUUAAAACAGAUGACAGCUGCAGAUGCUGAGAAACUGAAACAUAUAAACUAUCUCUUUUUCUUGGAAUUUUUUUCUCAUUGGGUGGGUCUUUUUUUUUUUUGCCCAACUGGUGUGUGUGUGUGUGUGUGUGUGUGUGUGUGUGUGUGUGUGUGCACGUGUCGUCCAUGUGUUAAUGAAGACGGUGGGAGGCCUUUGGCCGGGUGUGCACCAGCUGUAGCCUGAAGAAACAGCUCCCCGGACACUGACCAGACUUGAUUAAAUGGUGGGGUGGUCUGUUCUAGAAGAAUCCACCUCACACAGGGGGUCUCCUUUGAUUAUUUCUACUUUUGUCAUCAGAAGGACACUUGGGAACCAUGUCUAUUUUCCUGAAUCUUCCUGUGUUGCAUCACUUCCCCGUUUGGCACUUUCUUUUUCCCCAGGUCACUCUAUCAGUCAACUAUAUUUAUUAAAACCCUACCAUAGUUAGAAUACCUCCAUUAGAUUCCGCAAAAUAAGCAAGACGCUCCCUGCCUAUGAGAAGCACACAGACUGCUUUAGGAGAAAUCACGCACAAGCAUGAGGCCACUUGACACUGUGUGAAAGUAGCGACGUACCGCAGUGUAAAACAUCAUUAUAAAGCGAACGGAGGGCAACGAAGCACAGGCCAAAACAGAGCUGAGCAACAUUCACGAAAACAGGCCUCCUAGGAGAGGCAAACUGUGAAGAAAUUAUUGUUAACGCCUCCACGUACUAUAUCCCAUGCUGAAAAUAAUACAUCCAAUGAUUAAGCUCCUUUGAUUCUACCUUCAAAUUUCCUUUUGUGAUAUUUCUCAAACCUGUUUUUCCUCUCCCACCAGCAGGCCAUAAAUUGCUUUGCUUCUGUCACAUAUUUUAACUGGCCUGCAGGUGUCCAGCCUCUCUUCCAUUUCACCUUGGCAAUGUAUGAUUGUCACAUUUUCUUUGUAAAGUGGAAUUACUUCAAAUAAAUCAUUGGCCUGUUCAAGAACCAAUAACAACUUCAUGGUGAUUCUUAGGAGAAGGCAGAAGGACUGCACUCAUAGACCCCAGAUGUAACCUACAUAUAAGUAAUCUUUUAACAGCC